AGCAUUUUGUAUCCGUGCUGAGAUUUCCUCAUACACCAGAUCACAAGGACUUAUGAGACUCCCAAGAUUAGUGAAGCG
rnacentral:pre_miRNA from 1 species